rnacentral:rRNA from 1 species
GAGUUUGAUCAUGGCUCAGAUUGAACGUUGGCGGUAGGCCCCAUACAUGCAAGUCGAGCGGAAACGAAGGGAGCUUGCUCCCUGGCGUCGAGCGGCGGACGGGUGAGUAACGCGUAGGAAUCUACCCAGUAGCGGGGGAUAGCCCGGGGAAACUCGGAUUAAUACCGCAUACGCCUUACGGGGGAAAGGCCGGGAUCUUCGGACCGGUCACUAUUGGAGGAGCCUGCGUUGGAUUAGCUAGUUGGUGGGGUAAAGGCCCACCAAGGCGACGAUCCAUAGCUGGUCUGAGAGGAUGAUCAGCCACACUGGGACUGAGACACGGCCCAGACUCCUACGGGAGGCAGCAGUAGGGAAUAUUGCACAAUGGAGGAAACUCUGAUGCAGCCAUGCCGCGUGUGUGAAGAAGGCCCUAGGGUUGUAAAGCACUUUCAGUGGGGAGGAAUUAGCGCCGCUAAUAACGGCGUGAAAUGACGUUACCCACAGAAGAAGUACCGGCUAACUCCGUGCCAGCAGCCGCGGUAAUACGGAGGGUACAAACGUUAAUCGGAAUUACUGGGCGUAAAGCGCGCGUAG